rnacentral:tRNA from 1 species
ACCUGGACAGCUCAGUUGAUUACAGCAUGGUGCUGAUAAUGGCAAGUUUGCAGGUUCAAUCCCUGUAUGGGGCA